rnacentral:rRNA from 1 species
UUAAAGCGGUACGCGAGCUGGGUUCAGAACGUCGUGAGACAGUUCGGUCCCUAUCCGUCGCGGGCGUAGGAAAUUUGAGAGGAGCUGCCCUUAGUACGAGAGGACCGGGGUGGACGUACCUCUGGUGUAUCAGUUGUUCCGCCAGGAGCAUCGCUGAGUAGCUAUGUACGGAUGAGAUAAACGCUGAAAGCAUCUAAGUGUGAAACUCGCCUCGAGAUGAGAUUUCCCAUUCUUUAUGAAGUAAGACCCCUCAGAGAUGAUGAGGUAGAUAGGCUAGAAGUGGAAGUGCGGCGACGCAUGGAGCGGACUAGUACUAAUGGUUCGAGGACUUAACCAA